CCCUUAGAUGUUCUGGGCCGCACGCGCGCUACACUGACGAUGGCAACGAGUUUUUCCUUCGCCGAAAGGUGUGGGUAAUCUUUUGAAACAUCGUCGUGCUGGGGAUAGAUCAUUGCAAUUUUUGAUCUUGAACGAGGAAUUCCUAGUAAGCGCGAGUCAUCAGCUCGCGUUGAUUGCGUCCCUGCCCUUUGUACACACCGCCCGUCGCUACUACCGAUUGAAUGGUUUAGUGAGGACUCCUGAUUGGCGCCGCCGCCCCGGCAACGGAGCAGCGGACUGCCGAAAAGUUGUUCAAACUUGAUCAUUUAGAGGAAGUAAAAGUCGUAACA
rnacentral:rRNA from 1 species